UGCCCUACGGGACGCAGCAGUAGGGAAUCUUCCACAAUGGGCGAAAGCCUGAUGGAGCAACGCCGCGUGGGUGAAGAAGGUCUUCGGAUCGUAGAACCCUUUUGUUAGAGAGGAAAUGGUCUCCGAUUGAUAUUACCCUUCGAGGAAGUCACGUCUAACUACGCGCCAGCAGCCGCGGUAAUACGUAGGUGGCGAGCGUUAUCCGGAAUGAUUGGGCGUAAAGGGUGCGUAGGCGGC
rnacentral:rRNA from 1 species